AGAGUUUGAUCCUGGCUCAGGAUGAACGCUGGCGGCGUGCCUAAUGCAUGCAAGUCGGACGGUACUCUGAUUUCGGUUGGAGUGCAGUGGCGAACGGCUGAGUAAUGCGAAGGUAACCUACCCUUCAGUGGGGAAUAUCUCCGAGAAAUCGGAGCCAAUACCGCAUGUCGUCCUCACACGCAAGUGUGAUGAUGAAAGCCUUCGGGCGCUGGAGGAUGGGCCUUCGUCCCAUCAGGCAGUUGGCAGGGUAACGGCCUACCAAACCUGAGACGGGUAGCUGGUCUGAGAGGAUGGUCAGCCAGAUGGGGACUGAGAUACGGCCCCAACUCCUACGGGAGGCAGCAGCAAGGGAUAUUGCGCAAUGGGCGAAAGCCUGACGCAGCGACGCCGCGUGAGGGAUGAAGGCCUUCGGGUCGUAAACCUCUUUUAUUGGUGUAGAGUAAGGACGGUAACCAAUGAAUAAGCCUCGGCUAACUCCGUGCCAGCAGCCGCGGUAAUACGGAGGAUGCGAGCGUUAUCCGGAUUUAUUGGGUUUAAAGGGUGCGUAGGCGGAUUAAUAAGUCAGUGGUGAAAUCCUGCAGCUUAACUGUGGAACUGCCAUUGAUACUGUUAGUCUUGAGUAUGGUCAAGGUAGGCGGAAUGUGUAAUGUAGCGGUGAAAUGCUUAGAUAUUACACAGAACACCGAUUGCGAAGGCAGCUUACUGGGCCAUUACUGACGCUGAUGCACGAAAGCGUGGGGAUCGAACAGGAUUAGAUACCCUGGUAGUCCACGCCGUAAACGAUGAUCACUCGCUGUUAGCGAUACACAGUUAGCGGCUAAGCAAAAGCAUUAAGUGAUCCACCUGGGGAGUACGGCCGCAAGGCUGAAACUCAAAGGAAUUGACGG
rnacentral:rRNA from 1 species